UUAUUUAUUUGGAAAAUAAAUAAUACGGAAUUCAUCGAGAAUCGAAUGAUUAAAGGAUUAGUGGACUAAAUUGGACGAAAGAAAAGUUAGAAAAUAAAGUUUGAGGAGAUGGCAACUUCAAGGACUAAGAGAGACAUUUUAACCACUUAUUAUCAUCAUUAAUGAAUGAAUAUUCAUUCAUUUCAAACAUAAUUUACAGCAAGAAGAAGAUGAAAUCCGUAACCCCUUUUCUCCCAAAUCCUCCCAACUUCAAAUCUUCAUAACUUCUUCGUUUCUCAACGAAAUUUAGCGAUUCUUGCGGCCACGGAACGAGGAAAGGAUUAUCUACAGAUCUAUGGCUUCAAUUUGAGGUAAUAAACUCAAAUUAAAGUUAGGUUUUCAGGUUUAAUAUUUCGGUUUUGUUAGUUGUAAUGGUGAUUGUUGUGUUUGGUUGUUAUAUCUUGUGUAUGAGCUUGGAUUAAGAGAAUUCAUGAAGGUUUUUGAUGGCUAAGGUUCGGCCAAGAAGACAUCAUUAAGACUCGAAGAAGCGACUAUUGAUAAGGCUCGAGGAAAACGGAUCGAGAUAUCGUCAUAAUUAUUUGAAGAAUUUGGAUAGCAAGUGGGAUAGCAUGAUAUUAUUUGGAAAGUCAAGUUUCUGAAGUUUUAAUUCUCGGAAGUCAUUUGCAUAAGAAGUGAAAGAAGGUUUUCAUUCUAGCAGUCCACAGUAGUUUAGAUGUUUUUGUCUAUGUAUUUGACUAGCGCAUUUUAACUCUGAUAUUUUUGUAAAAUGGGGCCACAUGUAUUUUGAUAUAUGAAAAAAAAUGAUUUGAUUUGCGAAAAAUUUACACAGGUUUUUAGGCUUGCUACGGGUUUCGGAGCUACCACUCCCAUUCCCUAGCGCUGG